rnacentral:sRNA from 1 species
AUUACGCUCUUCAAAAGAGUUUCAAAUUCAGAGGGCUGGCAGAAAUGCCAGCCCUCUUUUUUGUUCGCG